rnacentral:rRNA from 1 species
AUACGGAGGGUGCAAGCGUUAUCCGGAAUCAUUGGGUUUAAAGGGUCCGUAGGCGGGCUAAUAAGUCAGGGGUGAAAUCCCACAGCUUAACUGUGGAACUGCCCUUGAUACUGUUGGUCUUGAGUCACAGUGAAGUGGUUAGAAUGUGUAGUGUAGCGGUGAAAUGCAUAGAGAUUACACAGAAUACCGAUUGCGAAGGCAGAUCACUAACUGUAUACUGACGCUAAUGGACGAAAGCGUGGGGAGCGAACAGGAUUAGAAACCCCUGUAGUCC